rnacentral:rRNA from 1 species
GACGAACGCUGGCGGCGUGUUUAACACAUGCAAGUCGAACGGAAAGGCCCUGCUUGCAGGGUACUCGAGUGGCGAACGGGUGAGUAACACGUGGGUGAUCUGCCCUGCACUUCGGGAUAAGCCUGGGAAACUGGGUCUAAUACCGGAUAGGAGCCAUUUUUAGUGUGAUGGUUGGAAAGUUUUUUCGGUGUAGGAUGAGCUCGCGGCCUAUCAGCUUGUUGGUGGGGUAAUGGCCUACCAAGGCGGCGACGGGUAGCCGGCCUGAGAGGGUGGACGGCCACAUUGGGACUGAGAUACGGCCCAGACUCCUACGGGAGGCAGCAGUGGGGAAUAUUGCACAAUGGGCGCAAGCCUGAUGCAGCGACGCCGCGUGGGGGAUGACGGCCUUCGGGUUGUAAACUCCUUUCGCUAGGGACGAAGCUUUUUGUGACGGUACCUAGAUAAGAAGAACCGGCUAACUACGUG